AAGCACAUAGCUUUUUAACUGGGUGAGGGGAAUCUGAUUCCUUUGCCCCUUGUUCAGCUAUAUACACCUGAGGAACUGAGAAAGUCCUUAGAACAAAAAGAAAAAGGUCUCGAGGAAAAUGCAAAACAGAAUUCACACACACAAAGAACAAUAGUAUUGGGUUUGAUUUGCUUAAUGUGGAAAUCAAGGCUGUUUCCACCUUUAUUGGAAGCAGGUGAGGGCUCGUGAAGAUGCAUUUCCAG
rnacentral:lncRNA from 1 species